rfam:Oryza meridionalis cultivar OR44 (W2112) chromosome 12, whole genome shotgun sequence.
AAUAAGUGUAGCUAUAAGUUUCCGCGUCCAAAUUUGAUCGUCUGUCUUAUUUGAAACUUUUUUAUAAUUAGCAUUUUCAUUGUUAUAAGAUGAUAGAAUAUGAAUAAUAUUUUACUUGUGACUUAUGUUUUAAUUAUUUUUUAAAAUUUUGUUAAAUAAAAUAAAUGGUCAAAGUUAAAUAUGAAAAAUCAUGAUUUCACUUAUU